rnacentral:rRNA from 1 species
GGGUUGUGAGGUUAAGCGACUAAGCGUACACGGUGGAUGCCCUGGCAGUCAGAGGCGAUGAAGGACGUGCUAAUCUGCGAUAAGCGUCGGUAAGGUGAUAUGAACCGUUAUAACCGGCGAUUUCCGAAUGGGGAAACCCAGUGUGUUUCGACACACUAUCAUUAACUGAAUCCAUAGGUUAAUGAGGCGAACCGGGGGAACUGAAACAUCUAAGUACCCCGAGGAAAAGAAAUCAACCGAGAUUCCCCCAGUAGCGGCGAGCGAACGGGGAGCAGCCCAGAGCCUGAAUCAGUAUGUGUGUUAGUGGAAGCGUCUGGAAAGGCGCGCGAUACAGGGUGACAGCCCCGUACACAAAAAUGCACAUGCUGUGAGCUCGAUGAGUAGGGCGGGACACGUGGUAUCCUGUCUGAAUAUGGGGGGACCAUCCUCCAAGGCUAAAUACUCCUGACUGACCGAUAGUGAACCAGUACCGUGAGGGAAAGGCGAAAAGAACCCCGGCGAGGGGAGUGAAAAAGAACCUGAAACCGUGUACGUACAAGCAGUGGGAGCACGCUUAGGCGUGUGACUGCGUACCUUUUGUAUAAUGGGUCAGCGACUUAUAUUCUGUAGCAAGGUUAACCGAAUAGGGGAGCCGAAGGGAAACCGAGUCUUAACUGGGCGUUAAGUUGCAGGGUAUAGACCCGAAACCCGGUGAUCUAGCCAUGGGCAGGUUGAAGGUUGGGUAACACUAACUGGAGGACCGAACCGACUAAUGUUGAAAAAUUAGCGGAUGACUUGUGGCUGGGGGUGAAAGGCCAAUCAAACCGGGAGAUAGCUGGUUCUCCCCGAAAGCUAUUUAGGUAGCGCCUCGUGAAUUCAUCUCCGGGGGUAGAGCACUGUUUCGGCAAGGGGGUCAUCCCGACUUACCAACCCGAUGCAAACUGCGAAUACCGGAGAAUGUUAUCACGGGAGACACACGGCGGGUGCUAACGUCCGUCGUGAAGAGGGAAACAACCCAGACCGCCAGCUAAGGUCCCAAAGUCAUGGUUAAGUGGGAAACGAUGUGGGAAGGCCCAGACAGCCAGGAUGUUGGCUUAGAAGCAGCCAUCAUUUAAAGAAAGCGUAAUAGCUCACUGGUCGAGUCGGCCUGCGCGGAAGAUGUAACGGGGCUAAACCAUGCACCGAAGCUGCGGCAGCGACACUAUGUGUUGUUGGGUAGGGGAGCGUUCUGUAAGCCUGUGAAGGUGUGCUGUGAGGCAUGCUGGAGGUAUCAGAAGUGCGAAUGCUGACAUAAGUAACGAUAAAGCGGGUGAAAAGCCCGCUCGCCGGAAGACCAAGGGUUCCUGUCCAACGUUAAUCGGGGCAGGGUGAGUCGACCCCUAAGGCGAGGCCGAAAGGCGUAGUCGAUGGGAAACAGGUUAAUAUUCCUGUACUUGGUGUUACUGCGAAGGGGGGACGGAGAAGGCUAUGUUGGCCGGGCGACGGUUGUCCCGGUUUAAGCGUGUAGGCUGGUUUUCCAGGCAAAUCCGGAAAAUCAAGGCUGAGGCGUGAUGACGAGGCACUACGGUGCUGAAGCAACAAAUGCCCUGCUUCCAGGAAAAGCCUCUAAGCAUCAGGUAACAUCAAAUCGUACCCCAAACCGACACAGGUGGUCAGGUAGAGAAUACCAAGGCGCUUGAGAGAACUCGGGUGAAGGAACUAGGCAAAAUGGUGCCGUAACUUCGGGAGAAGGCACGCUGAUAUGUAGGUGAAGUCCCUCGCGGAUGGAGCUGAAAUCAGUCGAAGAUACCAGCUGGCUGCAACUGUUUAUUAAAAACACAGCACUGUGCAAACACGAAAGUGGACGUAUACGGUGUGACGCCUGCCCGGUGCCGGAAGGUUAAUUGAUGGGGUCAGCGCAAGCGAAGCUCUUGAUCGAAGCCCCGGUAAACGGCGGCCGUAACUAUAACGGUCCUAAGGUAGCGAAAUUCCUUGUCGGGUAAGUUCCGACCUGCACGAAUGGCGUAAUGAUGGCCAGGCUGUCUCCACCCGAGACUCAGUGAAAUUGAACUCGCUGUGAAGAUGCAGUGUACCCGCGGCAAGACGGAAAGACCCCGUGAACCUUUACUAUAGCUUGACACUGAACAUUGAGCCUUGAUGUGUAGGAUAGGUGGGAGGCUUUGAAGUGUGGACGCCAGUCUGCAUGGAGCCGACCUUGAAAUACCACCCUUUAAUGUUUGAUGUUCUAACGUGGACCCGUGAUCCGGGUUGCGGACAGUGUCUGGUGGGUAGUUUGACUGGGGCGGUCUCCUCCUAAAGAGUAACGGAGGAGCACGAAGGUUGGCUAAUCCUGGUCGGACAUCAGGAGGUUAGUGCAAUGGCAUAAGCCAGCUUGACUGCGAGCGUGACGGCGCGAGCAGGUGCGAAAGCAGGUCAUAGUGAUCCGGUGGUUCUGAAUGGAAGGGCCAUCGCUCAACGGAUAAAAGGUACUCCGGGGAUAACAGGCUGAUACCGCCCAAGAGUUCAUAUCGACGGCGGUGUUUGGCACCUCGAUGUCGGCUCAUCACAUCCUGGGGCUGAAGUAGGUCCCAAGGGUAUGGCUGUUCGCCAUUUAAAGUGGUACGCGAGCUGGGUUUAGAACGUCGUGAGACAGUUCGGUCCCUAUCUGCCGUGGGCGCUGGAGAACUGAGGGGGGCUGCUCCUAGUACGAGAGGACCGGAGUGGACGCAUCACUGGUGUUCGGGUUGUCAUGCCAAUGGCACUGCCCGGUAGCUAAAUGCGGAAGAGAUAAGUGCUGAAAGCAUCUAAGCACGAAACUUGCCCCGAGAUGAGUUCUCCCUGACCCUUUAAGGGUCCUGAAGGAACGUUGAAGACGACGACGUUGAUAGGCCGGGUGUGUAAGCGCAGCGAUGCGUUGAGCUAACCGGUACUAAUGAACCGUGAGGCUUAACCUUACAACGCCGAAG